rnacentral:rRNA from 1 species
CCAGACUCCUACGGGAGGCAGCAGUGGGGGAUAUUGCACAAUGGGGGAAACCCUGAUGCAGCGACGCCGCGUGGGUGAAGGAGCGCCUCGGUGCGUAAAGCCCUAUCGGCAGGGAAGAAACAGACGGUACCUGACUAAGAAGCCCCGGCUAACUACGUGCCAGCAGCCGCGGUAAUACGUAGGGGGCAAGCGUUAUCCGGAUUCACUGGGUGUAAAGGGAGCGUAGACGGCGACGCAAGUCUGGAGUGAAAGCCCGGGGCCCAACCCCGGGACUGCUCUGGAAACUGCGGCGCUGGAGUACGGGAGGGGCAGGCGGAAUUCCUGGUGUAGCGGUGAAAUGCGUAGAUAUCAGGAGGAACACCGGCGGCGAAGGCGGCCUGCUGGACCGUGACUGACGUUGAGGCUCGAGAGCGUGGGGAGCAAACAGGAUUAGAUACCCCCGUAUA